CAGACAUUUUGGGAUUCAGAGAUUAUUUUUAUCACUUCAUCUUUUACCACUAAAUUAAUAAAUGUAGAUGAUUUUGUUGUACCAAGACAGUUUUCCAAACACUGAUUUUGAAUUUAGAUGGAAGAAGCCUGAUUUUUUUUUUUUUUUUACUAGGUCCUAAACUGACUCUGGGGACUAAAGAAAAAAAGUAUAACUUAUCAUGGAAGUUGCUUAAGUGCAAAAUUAAUCAGGUCAGGGGAGGAUUGGAUAUGGAGAUUAAACUGUCAUGCUUGGAUCUGGAAGACACAGCAUCAUCUCUACCCAUAAAAGAUGGCAUUCUGCAAGACUGAGAAGAUGCCCACCUCCAUUCCCAGAGUCCAGGCCUUCAUUAACUCACACGAGAACUACAGAAGCAUCACCCCUAGUUCUCCUAUUAGUCACUCCUCCUCAACUGCCUCUAAUCCAUCCAUCCAUCUAUCCGGCAUGGGUCAUGUAAAGUUACAGCUGAGAAGGUACUCCCUCUCUUAAACUCAUCGGGGCUCCAUGUGGCUUCAAGAUUGAAAAUAAAACUACUGUGUAUGGUAUAUAAACUUAAGCU
rnacentral:lncRNA from 1 species